rnacentral:rRNA from 1 species
UGCCAGACUCCUACGGGAGGCAGCAGUGGGGAAUAUUGCACAAUGGGGGAAACCCUGAUGCAGCGACGCCGCGUGAGCGAUGAAGUAUUUCGGUAUGUAAAGCUCUAUCAGCAGGGAAGAAGAUGACGGUACCUGACUAAGAAGCCCCGGCUAACUACGUGCCAGCAGCCGCGGUAAUACGUAGGGGGCAAGCGUUAUCCGGAUUUACUGGGUGUAAAGGGAGCGUAGACGGCGGCGCAAGCCAGAUGUGAAAGCCCGGGGCUCAACUCCGGGACUGCAUUUGGAACUGUGUGGCUGGAGUGUCGGAGAGGCAGGCGGAAUUCCUAGUGUAGCGGUGAAAUGCGUAGAUAUUAGGAGGAACACCAGUGGCGAAGGCGGCCUGCUGGACGAUGACUGACGUUGAGGCUCGAAAGCGUGGGGAGCAAACAGGAUUAGAUACCCCCGUAAG